rnacentral:lncRNA from 1 species
UGCACUUAAGUGUGUGAUCUGGUUAUGAAUGAAGUGGGUGUAAACCUUUGUGAUUAGGAUUCAAAUCUGAUAUAAAUAGAAAAUAUUAGAUGAUUAUUUCAUUCCCCUAUUUUGGUCGUUUGCACUAACAAGAGGUAGCAGGUACCCCAAGAAAUCAGACGCAAAUUUGGGAUUUCUAAAACAUGGGUGCACCACUAAAGAAAAAAGAAAAAAGUAUUAAGUAAGAAUUGAACUCUAUUCUUUGGGUAAGUAACUCAACAUUCUAUUAAGUGCACCAGUUGACCUUUUUGGAGUAUGAGGACAAUCAUAUAGUAUUAGAUCAAUUCAAAAAUAUGUACAUAAAUAAUUUAAUUUGACAGCAAGACUAUGAAUUCACGUGCCUGGGCACUAGAUUCUCCCCUUGCGGAAAUAGUCGAAGUUGUGCAAGCUAACCCAAUCUCUACCGGCUUAUUAGCUAAAUUUUAAUGGAAUCUUGUUCACGUAUUUUUUCUUCUUAUCAAAAGUGUACCAACAGUUAGAGUAUCCAAGGCGUACAACAAUUCUUUAUGAAUGAACAAUCGAAAUGUUUUUGGAGAAUCUUCAAAAUUAAAUAUUAAUCUUGAGUGGUAAAAUGCUUAGAGACUGAAGAAAGACCUCUGGGAAGAAUGGAUAAUUGCAUCAGAACACCAACAUUAUAAAAUGUGAAAAAUAUUUUAAUUGGCAAAUAAAUUAUUUAUGGAUAUGGAGAUUAUAACGUUUCUUAAAAUAUGUUAGCGUGUUGAAUAGGGUGGCAGAGGGGUC